GGCCGGGUGGUGGCUCAGUGGCAGAGCGCUCACCUGGCAUGUGUGAGGCACUGGGUUCGAGUCUCAGCCCCGCCU
rnacentral:tRNA from 1 species